AAACUAUAAGUCGUGUGACAUUUUAGUCCCCAAACUUAGAAUCAUUAAAAAAUGAUGUGUUGCUGAUAUAUUAUAGAUUUAAUAUCAUAUAUUAUUGUCGCGUCAACAAUCAUUACAAUAAAAUAUUCCUACCACACUAAUAACAAAGUCACACUCAAUCAGCUAAAUUAGAUUGCAGAACUUAAUUAUAAUAAUUUAAAAAAUAAAAAUAAAAAAUUAUAACGAAUUAGAAUAUAAAAAAAGGAUAAACCUAAAAUAUCACCGAUGUGAUUUCGCACGUUCUCACUUUAGUAUCCUAUGCUUUAAAGUGUAUCAAGUUAACGUCUUGCAUGUGGUUUCAUUUUUAUCCUUUCAUCAGUUUAUUCGUUAAUAUUUUAUUAAAUAAUAUAUAAAAAAAUUUCAGAUACCCCACCUAGAUUUAUCGAAUAUUAACUUUAGUACCAUUUAGUUUUAACUUUGUCACUGGCUUAACGAAAAAAAUUAGUGGAAUCGAUAAUAAAAAGAUAAAAAUAAAAUUACAUGGUGCUAAAUUGAUACAUUUUAAAUCACAUAGUACUGGAGUGAGAAAGUGUAAAAUUAUAAAAGUGAUAUUUGAAGUUUUCAAAAAAAAAAAAAAAAAAAAAA
rnacentral:lncRNA from 1 species